ACUGCACUAAUUGGCUAAAAUGCAAGUCAAUAGAUAAUAACUGAAAGUCAUGUGAUUAGGGGCGGUCAGAAGAGGCUUAGAUGCAAGGUAAUCACAGAAGUAAAAAGGGUAUUAAUAUAACAGUGUUGGUUUUGCAAAACUGGGGAAUGGAUAAUAAAGGGAUUAUCUUCUUAAACAUCAAAAAUUCUGGUGUUGACUGUCCCUUUAAGUCCAAAAACUUUCAGUAUAGGUUGGGAUACCACAGGCUAAAUCAGCUAUUUCAAAUGCCAAAAUAAGGGCUAAACUAGCUACUUGUAAACAAUGCAAUGCACUCCAGCAGGUAAAAUAGAUAAUUUCGAACAAAUUAAAGGGGAAAACAUUUUUGAGUAAACUGUCCCUUUUAAGUAUGUUGAGUGUGUUUGCAAUUGUGUUUGUGUAUAUAUCUCUCUCACAGGCUAAAUAAUGGUUUCUCAAAUUAUUAUAAUAAAUCCCUUUUUAUAAUGUUGCCAUAUCCAGACUACCUCUGCUAGGUUACUUCUCUAAUUGGAAUCUAUAACGUAAAUGUAUUAACUCUGUUUUGUCUCUUCUAGCUGGCUUAUUUGGAAUAUCUGUCCAAUUAAAAAAUGGCUCCAGAGGUUAGAAACCGGUGUUGGCGUGGCAGAAUGGCUUUAUGGAAACUUCAACCAUAUGACGGCUUAAUUUUCUUCCACAAGGCUGUGAGACCAGUUUGCAGGUGAUGCUAAAGUUAUCAGAUCUACAGCCAACACUUAGUGUCUAGUUCAUUAUCAAAAGAAAUGUUUGUGCCUCCUUUGUUACAACAGCUGGCUUGUUUGGAAUAUCUGUCCAAUUAAAAAAUGGCUCCAGUGGUUAGAGACGGAUGAUGGCAUGGCAGAAUGGCUUUAUGGAAACUUCAAUCAUAUGACAGCUUACAUUUCUUCCACAUGGUUGAGGCCAGUUUGCAGGUGAUGCUAAAGUUAUCAGAUCUACAGCACCAGUUGACAUACAGCCAACACUUAGUGUCUAGUUCAUUGUCAAAAGAAAUGUUUGUGCCUCCUUUGUUAAAACAGAUCUAGCAAUGUGAAGCGAGGGGCCAUAAUGUAUAAAGAGAGGUCUUCACCUCCAACUGCGUCUGCUGCAGAAAUGCUUCUGCCCAAUCACUAGACUACUGAUCUUCAAGCACUGGACAAAAUGUCUACAUGAAACAUUUCUCCGUUACAUCAGCCCAGGUGUUUUAACAGCUGGAGUAUGUGUGUUUUGCGUAACAGCUGCUCUCACAACUCGUGUACCCAUGGAAAGGGAUUGUCCUUGGCGUUCCUGUUUGAACUAUAAACCUCUCUAUUUAAUAAAAUGCUAAUAAAGUGUUUCUGAUUAUCUGUUCUAUUAAUAAAGCUGUGACUGAUUUUA